rnacentral:lncRNA from 1 species
AGGAGAAGCAGAGUUUGAGAGAGAUCUUCCAUGUGCUGGUUCACUCCCGAAUUGGCAGCAACAGCCAGAGCUGUGCUGGUCUGUAACCAGGAGCCAGGAGCUUCUUCAACAGCUCCUUGAAGGGGGCAGGGGCGCAAGAACUUGAGCUAUCUUCCACUGCUUUCGAACCAUAGCAGAGAGCUGGAUUGGACGUGGAGCAGCUGGGACUUGAACCAGUUCUGUAAUGGGAUGGCAGCACUGCAGACCGAGGGUUUUCUUACUAUGCCACAGAGCUGGCCCCUUCCCCUUAAUACUUGAAAUACUAAGUUCGAUUUUGUAGACAAAGAGAUUCACAAACAACCUUUGGAGGACACAAAUUUUAUACACGUGGGGAAUUUUUAUUUUAUUUCGUGGGGAAACUCAGUCAUACGUACUCUCUUUUGAUGUAGGAUCCAAGCCCAGUCCACAUGAGGAGAAGUCCCAGGAAAGGAAGCUCAGAGGCAGAAGCAGCGUUGCCAGGGCAGAAUCAGAGUCCAGCUGUGACGGGGUGAGCUCCAGGAAGAGGACAAUCAGUUCUGAGGACAGCAGCCACACGGGGACAGGUAGCAUCGUGCUUUCUCUCCCUAGAGGGUCAGGACCAGGGAGCUUAUCCAAGGUUGGGAAGGGAGGGGUUGUCAGAGAUUGAGAGCAGUUUCGAGAUCCCAAGAGCGUGUGAGGGGGAGGGUGGGUGCUGCCUGCGUUCCUGCUGGAGUCCAUUGUGGGGAAGGAAGUGCAGGAUUCUAGCCUUCAACUUGUUUUCGGUAUGCUUUUUCUGUACUUGUGGUGUGAAUUCUUCAUUAACAUAUCAAAGGAGAAAAAAAUCUUUGUAAAAUAUCUAAAGCAACAUCAGAAAACCUUGUGUUUUGCAUUCCUUUUUUUUUGUAUGUACUUAGCUGUACUGUAAGUAGUUGUUUAGUAGGAGAUAGUUAAAAAGGCCAAAGAUAGGGGCCAGCAAUGUGGUAGAGUGGGCUAAGUGUCUGCCUGUUGUGCCAGAAUCCCAUAUGGGUACCACGUUGGAGUCCCAGAUGCCCCUCUUCUAAACCAGCUCUCUGCUAUGGCCUGGAAAAGCAGUAGAACAUAGCCCAGAUGCUUGGGCCUCUUCACCUGCAUGGGAGACCUGCAAGAAACUUCUGGCUCUCAGCUACUGCCAUUUAGGCCAUUUCCUGAGGGACCAGCAGGUGGAACCUUUCUGUUUCUCCCUCUGUCUGUCUAUAAUUCUGUCAUCAAAUAAAUAAAUAAAAUCCCCUCCA